UACGAAGGGGGCUAGCGUUGUUCGGAAUUACUGGGCGUAAAGCGCGCGCAGGCGGUUCUCCAAGUCAGUGGUGAAAGCCCGGAGCUCAACUCCGGAACUGCCAUUGAAACUGUUGAACUUGAGGACGAGAGAGGUGAGUGGAAUUCCCAGUGUAGAGGUGAAAUUCGUAGAUAUUGGGAAGAACACCGGUGGCGAAGGCGGCUCACUGGCCCGAAUCUGACGCUCAGGCGCGAUAGCGUGGGGAUCAAACAGG
rnacentral:rRNA from 1 species